rnacentral:rRNA from 1 species
UACGUAGGGUGCGAGCGUUAAUCGGAAUUACUGGGCGUAAAGCGUGCGCAGGCGGUUUGGUAAGACAGACGUGAAAUCCCCGGGCUUAACCUGGGAACUGCGUUUGUGACUGCCAGACUAGAGUGUGGCAGAGGGGGGUAGAAUUUACGUGUAGCAGUGAAAUGCGUAGAGAUGUGGAGGAAUACCGAUGGCGAAGGCAGCCCCCUGGGCUAACACUGACGCUCAUGCACGAAAGCGUGGGGAGCAAACAGG